rnacentral:misc_RNA from 1 species
GUGCUUUUGUCCUCUCUGCGUGUUGCUUAGUAGUAUGGGUAAGAAUGAGUUUAAAAAAAUAGCCCUUUUUAGUUCUCGCGCUAUCACUGACUGGUUUUAAAAAUGUCACUAAGAUCUGCUGUGUUGAUAUCACUGUGAGUGUCUGCAUGGUUUAAGAUACCCACCUGAAAAAGCUACCCAAUGUGCUUACUGGGCGUUUUAGACAACUU